UACAGAGGGGGCAAGCGUUAUUCGGAAUUAUUGGGCGUAAAGGGCGCGUAGGCGGCUUGGCAAGUGGAUGGUGAAAUCCCUCGGCUUAACCGAGGAACUGCCAUCCAGACUGCUUUGCUUGAGGCCGGGAGAGGUGAGUGGAAUUCCCAGUGUAGCGGUGAAAUGCGUAGAGAUCGGGAGGAACAUCUGUGGCGAAGGCGACUGCCUGGACCAGCACUGACACUGAGGCACGAAAGCGUGGGGAGCAAACAGG
rnacentral:rRNA from 1 species